GUUCUUGGACUUCUGCAACCCCAAGCUUUUUCAACCCUAAGGCAAAGACGCCAGCAAGACCAUGAACACGUUGGGCAAUAGAUUUUAGACCUGCAGGUCCAUGGUAAACAGCAUACAUGGCAGCCAUGUUGGCAAGCAACGCCUGUAAGAAAAGGAAAAAACAUACACAAAAUGUCAGAGUAAGAGGAAAAGAUGAAGUUCUCAUCAGCAUGAAUCAAUAUAAUAUAUCAUCUAAUUAUCAGCGCGAACUAAGUAAUCAGAUAGUAAGAAGUGAUUACUUACUUGAGCAGUACAGAUGUUGCUAGUGGCUUUGUCCCUCCUAAUAUGCUGUUCUCUAGUCUGCAUAGCCAUACGCAGAGCUUGCUUUCCUGAAGAAUCAACACUAACACCGAUAAUCCUCCCUGGCAUCAUUCUCUUAUACUCUUGUGAAGUAGCCAAGAAAGCGGCAUGAGGACCACCAUAACCCAUGGGAACACCAAACCUUUGAGCGGAACCAACCACAAUAUCGGCCCCCAAUUCUCCAGGGGGUUUCAACAUAGUCAAAGCCAGCAAAUCCGUAGCCAUCACAACCUUAACACCAUUAGCAUGAGCAGUCUUGACAAACUCAGCAUAAUCCAAGACCUCACCUUCAGUUCCAGGGUACUGGACAAGAACCCCACAAACAUCACCAGAGCUGUAAUCUAUAUCCUUGAGAUCAGCGGAGAGAACUUUGAGAUCAAACCCACCGGCUCUAGUCUUGCAGAUAUCAAUAGUCUGAGGGUGACAGUUACUAGCAAUGAGAAAGGUCUUCUUUUUACCCUUUUGAAUGUUGUUACACAUGGCCAUAGCCUCGGCAGCCGCAGUCCCUUCAUCGAGGAGCGAAGCGUUCGACAUGGGAAGCCCCGUGAGGUCGGUGAUGACCGUCUGGAAAUUGAGCAGCGAUUCGAGACGACCCUGAGAGAUCUCAGCUUGAUAAGGAGUGUACUGAGUGUACCAAGCUGGGUUCUCCAUAAUGUUACGGAGAAUCACAGGAGGGACAUACGUGUUGUAGUAACCCAUCCCAAUAAAGGAUUUGAAAAUCUUGUUCUUGGAAGCCAAAUCAACCAUGUGCUCGAUCAUUUGGCUCUCGGUUAGACCUCCGUCGAAUUUGGAGAACUUCAUGGAGUCUAAUCGAAUAG
rnacentral:lncRNA from 1 species